AGCGAACGCUGGCGGCAGGCCUAACACAUGCAAGUCGAACGAACCUUUCGGGGUUAGUGGCGGAAGGGUGAGUAACACGUGGGAACGUGCCUUUAGGUUCGGAAUAACUCAGGGAAACUUGUGCUAAUACCGAAUGUGCCCUUCGGGGGAAAGAGUUAUCGCCUUUAGAGCGGCCCGCGUCUGAUUAGCUAGUUGGUUGAGGUAAUGGCGCACCAAGGCGACGAUCAGUAGCUGGUCUGAGAGGAUGAUCAGCCACAUUGGGACUGAGACACGGCCCAAACUCCUACGGGAGGCAGCAGUGGGGAAUCUUGCGCAAUGGGCGAAAGCCUGACGCAGCCAUGCCGCGUGAAUGAUGAAGGUCUUAGGAUUGUAAAAUUCUUUAACCGGGGACGAUAAUGACGGUACCCUGAGAAGAAGCCCCGGCUAACUUCGUG
rnacentral:rRNA from 1 species